GCACGCUUGCCAAUAUUUCCGACAACUCAACAAAAAGGGAAAUCCAACCAGCACGACCAUGCCACGUCGUACGAUCGAACAGUCGCCUGCAUACACCCAUCGAGAGCGGAGCCUCGCUCGAUCGCGUCUCGCCAGCCGACAUCAGCAGCUCGCCGAGCCGGAUAAAUCAGCGCUCGGAAACGGUAAUUUACGUAAGGGGCACGAGGCCGGACAGGACGGCACGAUACGCCGCAAAGCCCGAACGAAACUACCGGUAAGUCGUGGUCGAGGCGGACAAUUGGCACACCAUUUAGUUGUCGCAUUUCCCAGAUUGGCAAGCCGUCCAGCGAGCGUCCCAAAAGUGUCUGGUUCACCUCACCAAGCUCGUGACGCCAAGGUCGACGGCGAAACACCGCCAGCCGCGUUUGAGGCCCGACGCGCACACGGAGGCAGGCCAGCGCCGUGUCGAAGGACGAGCCCGAUCUAAAGCGGACGCGCGAGGCAAAACUCGAGAGUGGAGGCGGCAGGAGAGACGCAUCGCAUGCCAAAAACCACAAGUAAGCGAGGCAUUGACAAUUGACGCUGUACUUCCACUAAGAUCACCCUAUUCACAGGAGAUUGAGGGUCACCACACACACGCGCACGACUGAAGCGAGAUUCAGUGUCAAGGUCACGCCGACGAGGAAGCAAGUCUGAGAACGGUGCUCGAAGCACGCGGAACACCACUAGAGGACCUGAAGCUAAAA
rnacentral:misc_RNA from 1 species